UUACAAACAAACAACCAAUUAGUAUUAUUAUUAUGAGAAGGCAAACCCUCUCAACUCAAAUGUACCUAUUUCCCGUUUAGCAAGGAUCAAGUGAAAGAGAGAAAUGGAGCUCUAAUGAAAACAGAGGUUUCAGGGAUUCCAUAGGAAAGCAUUCUACAAUCUCUGAUUGAUACCAGUCUUCAAUGGCACAUCCAUUGAGUUUAACUUCUACAGGCCUCCUCAAAUAUGGCUUAAUUCCUGGAACCACGAUUUCACACAAAAAAGUUGGGACAUAUGCUUUAAGAUCAUCAGGGUUAUUAUUUAGCAUCCAAGCUGUGCAAGACAAUGACAGGCCUCGACGACUGGUUGAUUUCAUUCGUCUUGUGCCAGAGAAAUCAAGGAAUUACUUUACAAGUCCUUCAAGGAGAGCACUUUUUGGGGGAAUCGCAUUAUCGGGUGGUUUUUAUGUGGCACAGACAAUCUCUCUGUCGUUUGGAGCGUUGGGAGUCAAUGAUGUGAUUGCUGCAAUUGUGUGUGUUCUCCUUACGGAGUAUGUGACUAAGUUCUAUUAUAGCCGGCCAAAGGUGACUUUCCCCAUUGCUCUUCUAAACAAUUUCCAGAUGGGUUUCACUUAUGGUCUCUUCAUUUAUGCUUUUAAACUUGCCAGUUGAAUUAAAACCAUCCAAUCGGUUUGUUGUUCUUGGUCAACAUGCUAUCUGUGGGAUCUUUGAUCUGCCAUGGUUUCUUUUUAUUAAGAUUUGAUUUUGUCUGCGUUUUUUGCACAUGUCUAUAUUGUAGAUCCUGCCUCUCCCUUUCAGCUAUAUGCUUGUGGCAUUGUAUGGGCUGGCAUUACUAUUAUCUGAACAGUGUACUGUUGCAAUGGAAACAGAAAUCUUGUUCACAUAAAUCUUUCAUAUUUAUAUUUUUAUAUAGUUACAUACAUACAUAGAAAUCAAUUGUUGCC